rnacentral:rRNA from 1 species
GACGAACGCUGGCGGCGUGCCUAAUACAUGCAAGUAGAACGCUGAAGGAGGAGCUUGCUCUUCUGGAUGAGUUGCGAACGGGUGAGUAACGCGUAGGUAACCUGCCUGGUAGCGGGGGAUAACUAUUGGAAACGAUAGCUAAUACCGCAUAACAGUAGAUGUUGCAUGACAUUUACUUAAAAGGUGCAAUUGCAUCACUACCAGAUGGACCUGCGUUGUAUUAGCUAGUUGGUGGGGUAACGGCUCACCAAGGCGACGAUACAUAGCCGACCUGAGAGGGUGAUCGGCCACACUGGGACUGAGACACGGCCCAGACUCCUACGGGAGGCAGCAGUAGGGAAUCUUCGGCAAUGGACGGAAGUCUGACCGCGCAACGCCGCGUGAGUGAAGAAGGUUUUCGGAUCGUAAAGCUCUGUUGUAAGAGAAGAACGAGUGUGAGAGUGGAAAGUUCACACUGUGACGGUAUCUUACCAGAAAGGGACGGCUAACUACGUG